rnacentral:tRNA from 1 species
GCCCUGGUGGCGAAAUUGGUAGACGCAAGGGACUUAAAAUCCCUCGGUAGAAAUACCGUGCCGGUUCGAGUCCGGCCCUGGGCACCA